ACAUAGCAGAAGCUCAGCAGGCUCAGGUCUAGCUAGUACUUGGGUAGGAUACUGCCUGGGAAUAUCAGGUUUGAUAAGCU
ensembl:rRNA predicted gene, 23558